rnacentral:lncRNA from 1 species
CAACCCCUUGCAGAUUCCAAACCUAUAUAUAAACAUUCUUACACGAAUUAUAUCUAGCACAUAGCCAUAUUUUUAAAACUUAUAACACAAUGAUGAUUGUCUUAAUAGACUGCCCCAAAACCAUUUUAGCAAUGGCUCAUACAGUGUACAUCUAUAUAUAAAACCUUAAAAAAGAUUUGCAACUUUAUCAACAUAAUUUCACUUGUUUCUUAUUAAAAUUCUUCAUUUUAUCUUAAAGAAACAAACUUAAUCAGCAAAUUUCUGAACCUCCCACUCUAUGGAAGGAAGCAAUAUGAAAAAUAAAAAAAAAUUGAGUUGUAUGCUUUAACAUGGUCACACAGUUCGAUUAGAGCAAUAUGACUUCUUCAAAUUUUGUUAAUAAAGUACUUUUCCUAAUCUUCUCAAGUAUACUUACGGGUCAAAAUAUAGUAGAAAAAACAUAAGAUUCAAACAAUUUCAUUUAAGUGAAUCGUAGAGUCCAUAUCUAUUGCAAUUUUUUCAAACAAAAUAAAAUUAACCUGAAAAACUAGUUCACAAAUCCGUAUAGUAAAUAACAAGAAGGAUGGUUUCAAAGUUAGAGGUUUGAAAAUCUAUUACAAAUAAAAAAUAAAUAACACAAAAAAUCUAGUACCGAUCUUCUUCCGGCGACGACUCUGCCACGCCGUCGACAGCGGCUGCAUCCGCCGCUUUCUUCGCGGCUUCGAAAAACUCAAUGAGACAGCGCCGCCGUCGGCUAGGCCAUUUCUAUAUAAACAAGAUCUGAGAUGAAGUUGAUGGACCUGGAGGGCUUGAGAGGGCUAGGGCUUCGAUUGAGAGGUAUGAUAAGGUAUGAAAUCACACUAGGACUUCGAUUGAGAGGUAUGAUAAGUUUUCGCAGUUCGAUUGAGAGAAGGAAUAAGGUCUGAGUAUAGGAAGCAAGUGACCGAAACCCUCGUUUAAGUCUAACCCAUCGUUUUAAUUUCAAAUUUUU